GCAUUGGUGGUUCAGUGGUAGAAUUCUUGCCUUCUACAUGGGAGACCUGGGUUCAAUUCCCAGCCGAUGCA
rnacentral:tRNA from 1 species